rnacentral:rRNA from 1 species
UACGGAGGAGGCAAGCGUUAUCCGGAAUUACUGGGCGUAAAGAGCUCGUAGGUGGUUUGUCGCGUUGUUCGUGAAAACUCACAGCUUAACUGUGGGCGUGCGGGCGAUACGGGCAGACUGGAGUACUGCAGGGGAGACUGGAAUUCCUGGUGUAGCGGUGGAAUGCGCAGAUAUCAGGAGGAACACCGGUGGCGAAGGCGGGUCUCUGGGCAGUAACUGACGCUGAGGAGCGAAAGCGUGGGGAGCGAACAGG